AAAAGAGAAAAGGGAAGAAAAAACCCUAGCCGCCGCUCGCCGUCGCCGCCGCGUACCCGAGCCGCCCAAGCCCUCCUCCUUCUGUUCGUCAGCUCAGCCAGAUCGUUCGCAGCCGCCAGCCGUCGCGUGAAGCCUCGUCCUGCCGCGUCGUCGAGCAGCUCAGCCGAGUCGUUCGCAGCCGCCAGCCGUCGCGUGAAGCCGCGUCAUGCCGCGUCGCCGAGCAGCUCAGCCGGAUCGUGCACAGCCGCCAGCCGUCUCGUGAAGUCGCAUCCUGCCGAGUCGCCGAGCAGCAGCAGUCGACGGUCGUCAGCCGCGCGCCUCCAGCCGUCGAAGCCGACCCGCGCCCGCUCGCCUGAACCCAAAACCGCUCCACGCCCGCGCACGUUCGCUCCGAGUCGUAAGCCGAGCCCGCGCGCGCCCAUCCCACGCCACGAGCCGCACCUGUCUGCACCACGAGCCACGCCUGUCUAUGCCGCGAGUCGAGCCGAUCCCCAACCUUCAAGCCGAGCCGGUCCCUGCUCCUCCAGCCGAGCCGGCAAGCCUAGUUGGCUCUUUCCACCCAAUUUUUGGGGCGUCUUGGACCAAGUAACUGCUGCAGCAUGGGAUUUCUUCGGUAGGGGCUCAAGCAUUGCAACCUCUUUCUAGGUUAGGACCUCGUUGCUUGGAAAGCACACUUGUCUUGCAGUUAGGACUCGUCGAGGAAAUCUCCAGGUAGAGGCCGCGGUAAGGGCAAAGGCAAGCUGGCGAGCGACCAGAAGUGACCGUGGCGAGCCAUAGGGAUUUCUGCUUCCGCUUAUUCUUUCUUUUGACGUUAGUACCUGAGUUUUAGU